rnacentral:rRNA from 1 species
AGAGUUUGAUCCUGGCUCAGAACGAACGCUGGCGGCGUGCUUAACACAUGCAAGUCGAACGCGAAAUUUUUCUUCGGAAAGAAAGUAGAGUGGCGCACGGGUGAGUAACGCGUAAGUUAUCUACCUCGGCAUCUGGAAUAACUCACCGAAAGGUGUGCUAAUACCGGAUACGUUGAGUAAUCAAGAAAGGUGGCCUCUGAAUAUGCUACUGUGCUGAGAUGAGCUUGCGUACCAUUAGCUAGUUGGUAGGGUAAAGGCCUACCAAGGCGACGAUGGUUAGCGGGUCUGAGAGGAUGAUCCGCCACACUGGAACUGGAACACGGACCAGACUCCUACGGGAGGCAGCAGUGAGGAAUAUUGCGCAAUGGGGGCAACCCUGACGCAGCGACGCCGCGUGGAUGAUGAAGGCCUUCGGGUCGUAAAAUCCUGUCAAGUGGAAAGAAGUGCAUAGUGGUUAAUACCUGCUAUGUUUGACGGUACCACUGAAGGAAGCACCGGCUAACUCCGUGCCAGCAGCCGCGGUAAUACGGAGGGUGCAAGCGUUGUUCGGAUUUACUGGGCGUAAAGGGCGCGUAGGCGGUUUUAUAAGCCAGAUGUGAAAGCCCACGGCUCAACCGUGGAAGUGCAUCUGGAACUGUAAGACUUGAGUAUGGGAGAGGAAAGUGGAAUUCCCGGUGUAGAGGUGAAAUUCGUAGAUAUCGGGAGGAAUACCGGUGGCGAAGGCGACUUUCUGGACCAAUACUGACGCUGAGGCGCGAAAGCGUGGGUAGCAAACAGGAUUAGAUACCCUGGUAGUCC